AACACCCAUCUUUCAAACUUUAAGCCCCUCGCUCGUCACACAGGCUUUCUCUUACAAAAGUGCAGUCUUAAAAAAGUGCAGUCUCCAAGCCCCUGGAGUGGCUCUUUAAAGUUUGCCCAAACUGAUGGGAGUCUGUAGACACAAAAGACCCGUCUGCGUUCACAGGGAUCCCCAGAGCAAAACUUGCGUCUUUCUCUCGGUCUUCACGGAUCAAUUAGCGACCCUGACAUCCUCGUCACCACACGACUCUACUGACACGUGUCGAAUGGAACUGGGCCGACCGACUUCACACACUCGAGCUGAGAGUCAUUCGGUGUGUCUUUUACUUUUCUCACGUGAUAAAUGAUCACACUCACACAACAGAGCUCACCGGGCACGUUUGGGGAAUGAUGAGGUCUGCAGGUGCUCCUGUGUGCUGCGAAUUAAGAGGCGGCUUGGAAUGAUAAUGAAAAUGAUUCAGCACCAUGUGAAUUCAGUUUAUUUUGAGUUGAUCAUUCUAAAUCUACAAAUAUAACGAAAGUGCUUCAGUGCUUCGGAGAGAUAUUUUUAAAUUAAGAACUGGCACUUGAGCGUGAUCAUUCGCUGUCAUUUUGUGCCGUGGAAUAUUCUCAGCACGGAGAUGUUGUCACUUCUUUUCAUGCGGCGGGUGAAUAAGUCCUUUUUGGAGUGAAGCUGAAUGGGAGGGAGACUUUCGCUGGCAGAGCAUCAGAGAGGAGGGGAGAGGAGGGGAGAGCUGGCUGAGCACAACAAUUCACUCGGUCCUGGGGGGGGAGGAGGAGGCCUCGGGUUAAAAAUAGCAGCUGCCUCACCUGCGGUCCAUCUUCUCUACGUGAAGCGGCGACUCUUCAUGCAGCGUGCGGCGCUGGCUGUCAACCUCGGAGGCCUCGCGUGGUUAGACGGGUGUCAAAUGCCUUUCUGCCCUCCCGCCCACUGGAGCCCCCUCCCGGACUGUGCACGGGCUCCUGCAGCAUCAACCCCUCCAUGUUAAGUGCCUUGUUGGCUGAGCCUUUCACUCUGAGGCUUAUACUAUAGAGACCUGACUGGGAUUGUGUCCACACGCAGA